GAUGAAGAACGUAGCGAAAUGCGAUAAGUAAUGUGAAUUGCAGAAUUUAGUGAAUCAUCGAAUCUUUGAACGCACAUUGCGCCCCCUGGUAUUCCGGGGGGCAUGCCUGUCCGAGCGUCAUUACAACCCUCAAGCUCAGCUUGGUAUUGGGCCCCGCCGACCCGGCGGGCCCUAAAGUCAGUGGCGGUGCCGUCCGGCUCCGAGCGUAGUAAUUCUUCUCGCUCUGGAGGUCCGGUCGUGUGCUCGCCAGCAACCCCCAAUUUUUUUCAGGUUGACCUCGGAUCAGGUAGGGAUACCCGCUGAACUUAAGCAUAUCAAUAAGCGGAGGA
rnacentral:misc_RNA from 1 species